rnacentral:rRNA from 1 species
GUGGGGAAUUUUGGACAAUGGGCGCAAGCCUGAUCCAGCAAUGCCGCGUGCAGGAAGAAGGCCUUCGGGUUGCAAACUGCUUUUGUACGGAACGAAAAGGCUCUGGUUAAUACCUGGGGCUCAUGACGGUACCGUAAGAAUAAGCACCGGCUAACUACGUGCCAGCAGCCGCGGUAAUACGUAGGGUGCAAGCGUUAAUCGGAAUUACUGGGCGUAAAGCGUGCGCAGGCGGUUUUGUAAGACAGAGGUGAAAUCCCCGGGCUCAACCUGGGAAUUGCCUUUGUGACUGCAAGGCUGGAGUGCGGCAGAGGGGGAUGGAAUUCCGCGUGUAGCAGUGAAAUGCGUAGAUAUGCGGAGGAACACCGAUGGCGAAGGCAAUCCCCUGGGCCUGCACUGACGCUCAUGCACGAAAGCGUGGGGAGCAAACAGGAUUAGAUACCCUGGUAGUCC